UACUAUUUAAAACAUGAGCAGCAGUGUUUUAUCAGAUAUAAAGAUACGAGGCGAAGCCGAGUAUCUUUAGGUCUGAUAAAACACGCACUGCGAAUGUUUUAAAUUGCUUCAAAAACGAUCGAUCUAGUAAGUUGAUUGGCGAAGUAAUUUUCAAAAAAUACGUUGUGUAAGUCGAGAAAAUCAAAGUUAAAGUUUAUGUAAAUCAAGGGAAAUCUCUAUCACAUGUAAAGAUACGACACGCUUAUGAUUUUUUUUGUGUUUUCCUCAUGAAUUAUUAAUGAG
rnacentral:lncRNA from 1 species